rnacentral:rRNA from 1 species
AUACGGAGGGUGCAAGCGUUGUUCGGAAUCACUGGGCGUAAAGGGCGCGCAGGCGGUUUGGUAAGUCAGAUGUGAAAGCCCACGGCUCAACCGUGGAAGUGCAUUUGAAACUGCCAGACUUGAGUACCAGAGGGGAAAGUGGAAUUCCCGGUGUAGAGGUGAAAUUCGUAGAUAUCGGGAGGAAUACCGGUGGCGAAGGCGACUUUCUGGCUGGAUACUGACGCUGAGGCGCGAAAGUGUGGGGAGCAAACAGGAUUAGAAACCCUAGUAGUCC